GCAGUUCACAUCAAAGAUGGAGGGGAUGGUGACAGACUUGACUUUGGCUAGGGAAAAUCAAAACCAUUUUCAAGAAUAUCUCAGCAACAACCCUGCCGCAAGUCCUGGAAUUGAUUUAACUGUCACAGUUCUUACAACUGGGUUCUGGCCUAGUUAUAAAUCUUCUGAUUUGUGUCUCCCUGUGGAAAUGGUGAAGUGUGUAGAAGUCUUCAAGGAAUUCUAUCAGACAAAAACGAAACACAGGAAAUUGACAUGGAUUUAUUCAUUGGGUACGUGUAACAUCAACGGGAAGUUUGAUUCAAAAACCAUUGAACUGAUUCUGGGAACUUAUCAGGCUGCUGUUUUGUUAUUGUUUAAUUCUUCAGAUAGAUUGAGUUACUCAGAAAUCAAGAGUCAGUUAAAUUUGGCUGAUGAUGACUUGAUCAGAUUGCUUCAGUCCCUUUCAUGUGCCAAGUAUAAAAUUCUGAUCAAGGAACCUAGCAAUAGAACUGUUUCUUCUUCUGAUCAUUUUGAGUUCAACUCCAAGUUCACUGACAGGAUGAGGCGGAUUAGGGUCCCAUUACCUCCUGUGGAUGAAAGGAAAAAGGUAGUCGAGGAUGUAGACAAAGAUAGACGUUAUGCAAUUGAUGCCUGUAUCGUGCGCAUUAUGAAGAGUCGGAAAGUUCUUCCUCAUCAACAACUAGUGUUGGAGUGUGUUGAGCAGUUGAGCCGAAUGUUUAAGCCUGACUUCAAAGCAAUCAAAAAGCGAAUUGAAGAUCUCAUCACUAGAGAUUACUUGGAAAGAGACAAAGAGAACCCGAAUUUGUUCAAGUAUUUAGCCUGAAGCAAUAAUCUGUGUGCUCGGCUGAUUUUUUUUUUGUUCUCU
rnacentral:misc_RNA from 1 species